UACGGGGGGGGCAAGCGUUGUUCGGAAUUACUGGGCGUAAAGGGUCUGUAGGUGGCUCGCUAAGUCAGACGUGAAAUCCCUCAGCUUAACUGGGGAACUGCGUCUGAGACUGGCAAGCUUGAGUGCAGGAGAGGAACGCGGAAUUCCAGGUGUAGCGGUGAAAUGCGUAGAUAUCUGGAGGAACACCGGUGGCGAAGGCGGAAUCCUGGACCGGCAUUGACGCUGAGGCGCGAAAGCCAGGGGAGCAAACGGG
rnacentral:rRNA from 1 species